rnacentral:rRNA from 1 species
UACGUAGGUGGCGAGCGUUGUCCGGAAUUACUGGGUGUAAAGGGCGUGUAGGCGGGGCGGUAAGUCGGAUGUGAAAUACCAGGGCUUAACUCUGGGGCUGCAUCUGAAACUACUGUUCUUGAGUGCCGGAGAGGAAAGCGGAAUUCCCAGUGUAGCGGUGAAAUGCGUAGAUAUUGGGAGGAACACCAGUGGCGAAGGCGGCUUUCUGGACGGUAACUGACGCUGAGGCGCGAAAGCGUGGGGAUCAAACAGG